GAUGAACGCUAGCUACAGGCUUAACACAUGCAAGUCGAGGGGAAACGAUAGAGAAAGCUUGCUUUUUCUAGGCGUCGACCGGCGCACGGGUGAGUAACGCGUAUCCAACCUGCCCAUCACUUGGGGAUAACCUUGCGAAAGUAAGACUAAUACCCAAUGACGUCUCUAGAAGACAUCUGAAGGAGAUUAAAGAUUUAUCGGUGAUGGAUGGGGAUGCGUCUGAUUAGCUUGUUGGCGGGGUAAACGGCCCACCAAGGCGACGAUCAGUAAGGGGUUCUGAGAGGAAGGCCCCCCACCAAUUGGAACUAGAGAC
rnacentral:rRNA from 1 species